GUGACAAAGUCUCAAAUGAGUAGUAAAGCUGCAAUUCAACACAGGUCUCUGCUUUCAAGGCCCACCAACUUUUGUCCUCAGGUUGACCAAGAACUACUGUCACCACUGCCAAUGACAAGUGUGUAACUAAAGGCACACAUGCUCUUAGGAUGGACACCUGUAAGCCAAAGAGAGAACGACUGGCAGGACCAUCAACUACUAUUUAAAUGCUACAGUUACGAACUGAAUUUGAAAAGGCAACUUGAAGCCAGAGAAGAGAGCAGGAUAUUGCCAUGACAAGCUCUUGGAAGAAUUAUUUUAGGACGGGAUCUCACUAACUUUUCUCAGGAUGGCCUCCAAUUCAGCAUCAUCCUGUCUCUGCCUCCUGUGUAGCUGGGGUUGCAGGCUAAAUCUAGAUUUGCUGAAUGGAGAAAUCAUCUCAAGAUGGAGCUUAUAAUAUCUCAUACAGAACAAGUAUUGGAACAGAAAAUGUGGUUUAUGACUAUUUGUUACAGCAGCAAUAGGAAACUGAUGCAAACACUUCAUGCCAUGUGAUGUGACACUGAAUAUUCCUGAAGUGCUCCAACUUUGGUUUAGAAUGGAAGAGCUGGACUAUGAACAUAGGAUGAUGCCUACAAAGCAGUCUUCUCUCUGUUGGGACAACCAGUAUGUCUUCACACAUUGCCAUGUAUCUCUGGGGGAUGGAAAACUACUCUUCAUUUAAGAACCAUUGCUCUAAAACAAGAAAAAUCAGGUCUUGCUGCACGCUGUCUUCAAGUCUGCGUCAGAGUCCCUGGUGUGGAGGGCAUCUUCUCAACCUACUCAUUCCUCUGGGAUUUGAAAACCACAUCUGGAUAAGAUAGGUCUCCAGAAAUUCCUUCAAGUCAGCGAAGAUAAACAUCAACCAUCAUCUGAACGUGCAUGGAAAGUAUUUGACAUCUUUCCAAGGGUCCACCUUACCUAGUGCAUUUAUGGAACAGGACACGUUUUUCAUGUCCUCUGGAGGCAGCCUAUGCUACAGCUUGUUCCUCUGCUGCUCCCUACCUGGAGGCUUUCCUGCCACUACUCCCUGGAACCUGGGACAGAGUGUAAAACACAGAAUCUGAACUGCUGGUGAAUUAGUGAAGAGCGACAGCUUUGGAUCCUAUGGAAUCUUGAGAUAUUUUCCAGAUCUUGAGCAGAGUCCCAUGUAGGACUCAGCCAUGCUGGAUCUGCUCUGAGAGUGGAAGAUGUAACCUAUCUUCACAACAAAGCAGGUUCCUAAGAAGCUGUCUGAGAGCGUUCACCUGAGACACCUGAGGCAAUGAUAUUCUGGAGAAUGAAAAGAUUUAAAAGCACUCCAGGCACAAAGAAUCCCAUCCUU